rnacentral:rRNA from 1 species
AUUGAACGCUGGCGGCAUGCCUUACACAUGCAAGUCGAACGGUAACGGGCCUUCGGGUGCCGACGAGUGGCGAACGGGUGAGUAAUGCAUCGGAACGUACCUUUCAGUGGGGGAUAACGUAGCGAAAGUUACGCUAAUACCGCAUAUUCUGUGAGCAGGAAAGCAGGGGAUCGCAAGACCUUGCGCUGAUUGAGCGGCCGAUGUCAGAUUAGCUAGUUGGUGAGGUAAAGGCUCACCAAGGCGACGAUCUGUAGCGGGUCUGAGAGGAUGAUCCGCCACACUGGAACUGAGACACGGUCCAGACUCCUACGGGAGGCAGCAGUGGGGAAUUUUGGACAAUGGGGGCAACCCUGAUCCAGCCAUGCCGCGUGAGUGAAGAGGGCC